rnacentral:tRNA from 1 species
GUCCAUAUAGCCCAACUGGUAGAGGCGCGACGUUUAGACCGUCGAUGUUGGGGGUUCGAGUCCCUCUAUGGACA